rnacentral:rRNA from 1 species
GGUUAAGCGACUAAGCGUACACGGUGGAUGCCCUGGCAGUCAGAGGCGAUGAAGGACGUGCUAAUCUGCGAUAAGCGUCGGUAAGGUGAUAUGAACCGUUAUAACCGGCGAUUUCCGAAUGGGGAAACCCAGUGUGUUUCGACACACUAUCAUUAACUGAAUCCAUAGGUUAAUGAGGCGAACCGGGGGAACUGAAACAUCUAAGUACCCCGAGGAAAAGAAAUCAACCGAGAUUCCCCCAGUAGCGGCGAGCGAACGGGGAGCAGCCCAGAGCCUGAAUCAGUGUGUGUGUUAGUGGAAGCGUCUGGAAAGGCGCGCGAUACAGGGUGACAGCCCCGUACACAAAAAUGCACAUGCUGUGAGCUCGAUGAGUAGGGCGGGACACGUGGUAUCCUGUCUGAAUAUGGGGGGACCAUCCUCCAAGGCUAAAUACUCCUGACUGACCGAUAGUGAACCAGUACCGUGAGGGAAAGGCGAAAAGAACCCCGGCGAGGGGAGUGAAAAAGAACCUGAAACCGUGUACGUACAAGCAGUGGGAGCACGCUUAGGCGUGUGACUGCGUACCUUUUGUAUAAUGGGUCAGCGACUUAUAUUCUGUAGCAAGGUUAACCGAAUAGGGGAGCCGAAGGGAAACCGAGUCUUAACUGGGCGUUAAGUUGCAGGGUAUAGACCCGAAACCCGGUGAUCUAGCCAUGGGCAGGUUGAAGGUUGGGUAACACUAACUGGAGGACCGAACCGACUAAUGUUGAAAAAUUAGCGGAUGACUUGUGGCUGGGGGUGAAAGGCCAAUCAAACCGGGAGAUAGCUGGUUCUCCCCGAAAGCUAUUUAGGUAGCGCCUCGUGAAUUCAUCUCCGGGGGUAGAGCACUGUUUCGGCAAGGGGGUCAUCCCGACUUACCAACCCGAUGCAAACUGCGAAUACCGGAGAAUGUUAUCACGGGAGACACACGGCGGGUGCUAACGUCCGUCGUGAAGAGGGAAACAACCCAGACCGCCAGCUAAGGUCCCAAAGUCAUGGUUAAGUGGGAAACGAUGUGGGAAGGCCCAGACAGCCAGGAUGUUGGCUUAGAAGCAGCCAUCAUUUAAAGAAAGCGUAAUAGCUCACUGGUCGAGUCGGCCUGCGCGGAAGAUGUAACGGGGCUAAACCAUGCACCGAAGCUGCGGCAGCGACGCUGAUGCGUUGUUGGGUAGGGGAGCGUUCUGUAAGCCUGCGAAGGUGUGCUGUGAGGCAUGCUGGAGGUAUCAGAAGUGCGAAUGCUGACAUAAGUAACGAUAAAGCGGGUGAAAAGCCCGCUCGCCGGAAGACCAAGGGUUCCUGUCCAACGUUAAUCGGGGCAGGGUGAGUCGACCCCUAAGGCGAGGCCGAAAGGCGUAGUCGAUGGGAAACAGGUUAAUAUUCCUGUACUUGGUGUUACUGCGAAGGGGGGACGGAGAAGGCUAUGUUGGCCGGGCGACGGUUGUCCCGGUUUAAGCGUGUAGGCUGGUUUUCCAGGCAAAUCCGGAAAAUCAAGGCUGAGGCGUGAUGACGAGGCACUACGGUGCUGAAGCAACAAAUGCCCUGCUUCCAGGAAAAGCCUCUAAGCAUCAGGUAACAUCAAAUCGUACCCCAAACCGACACAGGUGGUCAGGUAGAGAAUACCAAGGCGCUUGAGAGAACUCGGGUGAAGGAACUAGGCAAAAUGGUGCCGUAACUUCGGGAGAAGGCACGCUGAUAUGUAGGUGAAGUCCCUCGCGGAUGGAGCUGAAAUCAGUCGAAGAUACCAGCUGGCUGCAACUGUUUAUUAAAAACACAGCACUGUGCAAACACGAAAGUGGACGUAUACGGUGUGACGCCUGCCCGGUGCCGGAAGGUUAAUUGAUGGGGUUAGCCGCAAGGCGAAGCUCUUGAUCGAAGCCCCGGUAAACGGCGGCCGUAACUAUAACGGUCCUAAGGUAGCGAAAUUCCUUGUCGGGUAAGUUCCGACCUGCACGAAUGGCGUAAUGAUGGCCAGGCUGUCUCCACCCGAGACUCAGUGAAAUUGAACUCGCUGUGAAGAUGCAGUGUACCCGCGGCAAGACGGAAAGACCCCGUGAACCUUUACUAUAGCUUGACACUGAACAUUGAGCCUUGAUGUGUAGGAUAGGUGGGAGGCUUAGAAGUGUGGACGCCAGUCUGCAUGGAGCCGACCUUGAAAUACCACCCUUUAAUGUUUGAUGUUCUAACGUGGACCCGUAAUCCGGGUUGCGGACAGUGUCUGGUGGGUAGUUUGACUGGGGCGGUCUCCUCCUAAAGAGUAACGGAGGAGCACGAAGGUUGGCUAAUCCUGGUCGGACAUCAGGAGGUUAGUGCAAUGGCAUAAGCCAGCUUGACUGCGAGCGUGACGGCGCGAGCAGGUGCGAAAGCAGGUCAUAGUGAUCCGGUGGUUCUGAAUGGAAGGGCCAUCGCUCAACGGAUAAAAGGUACUCCGGGGAUAACAGGCUGAUACCGCCCAAGAGUUCAUAUCGACGGCGGUGUUUGGCACCUCGAUGUCGGCUCAUCACAUCCUGGGGCUGAAGUAGGUCCCAAGGGUAUGGCUGUUCGCCAUUUAAAGUGGUACGCGAGCUGGGUUUAGAACGUCGUGAGACAGUUCGGUCCCUAUCUGCCGUGGGCGCUGGAGAACUGAGGGGGGCUGCUCCUAGUACGAGAGGACCGGAGUGGACGCAUCACUGGUGUUCGGGUUGUCAUGCCAAUGGCACUGCCCGGUAGCUAAAUGCGGAAGAGAUAAGUGCUGAAAGCAUCUAAGCACGAAACUUGCCCCGAGAUGAGUUCUCCCUGACCCUUUAAGGGUCCUGAAGGAACGUUGAAGACGACGACGUUGAUAGGCCGGGUGUGUAAGCGCAGCGAUGCGUUGAGCUAACCGGUACUAAUGAACCGUGAGGCUUAACCUU